UCGAACUACUGCAGCUAUCAUCAAUUUGGUUUGCACUCAAUUAAUAAAUUUUGUUUAAGAUAAAGCUGUUAUUUGCCUGACUGAAAUGGAACUACUGCAUACACAGACCGAAUUGGACGAAUCUUUGACAAUAAAUAUGUACCUCUUCCAAUUUGUAAAUUAUUAUACAUACUUUACAGCUUUUUUGAAUGGCAAAAAUGUUGGUUAUUCUGCUAAAUAUUUGCUUAUAGUUAUAUUCAAUCUUUGUCGAGAAGAAUGUAGUCCAGAUGGAUCUCUCAUAGAAUUAAGCAUCAAAUUGUUCAUUAUAAUGAUUGGGCAACAAUCAUCAAAUACUGUAUUGUAUUGGUUUUUUAGUUAAAGCCAAAAACUAAAACUGUUUAUAUUUAAGUAUGGGUUGAAAUUGGCUGAGAAUACAGGUCUCUUAGAUAAUUUGAAAUCAUCAUCCGAAGAAGAAGAUUUGGCCACAGUUGUUAAGAAACCUUGGAUUGAAGAUUUCAACACUUUAGAUUGGUGACCAAGACGACUCUUCCCAGAAUAUUUGGAAAUGGUUAUGCAAUAAGGUUUUGUAACAUUAUUUGUUACUUCAGUUCCAUUGGCUUCAUUCUUUGUAUUGUUAAACAAUGUGUUUGAAAUGAGAUUAGAUGCAAAAAAAUUUAUGAAGUAUUUCUGUCGGCCUAUUCCUCAUAGAGUGCCUAAUAAUGAUGUGUGGAAUUGGGUAUUGGCUCGUUAAAUGCCUUGUUUUGCUAUGCUUGCCGUUUAUUUGCAGUAGAUUCUGGUCAUAUUGAAGACACAUUUAAGACUGUGGGUUUUAAUAACUGGAAAAAAGCAAGUAUUACCUAUUGUGUACUUAUUUACAUACUAAUAUGUAUUACUAUCAAUUUUAUUAUAAGUAAUUAUUGUUUUUUUUCUUACAUUUUAGUUGGCUGGUUCAAGAGAUGCAAAACAAAAAAAAAA